GCAAAGUGCCGUCGCUGAACUAUACACGGAGUUUACUGCUUCAAACAUAAACAACGAUGGCAAAGGGAGUGGAUGUCUUCUUUUAAGGACACAAAGCCAGAGGAUGUCCACACCAAGGGUAUGAAGAUGAGCAUCUUAACUAUUACUGGAAGAUGAUGUUGUCAUCCACUCAAACCUAAAGGUUCUUUUUUGUGUGACCAGCUCUGUUCGGUUAAGGAUACUCUCUUCUCCACUAAGUAAUAGAGAUGCAUCAUAUUCACAACCUCAUCAUCUGCAGAGAAACUGCCACUCAAUCACACCACAUUGAUGGGCUUAAAGGCAUCACAGAGGAUCCUGAAGAUACAUUAUUCCUGGAAAUUUUGUCAUUUAUUUUCUAUUUCUAUUUUUACUUUCUGAUGUAUUUUUUUCAUGUUCAUUGUCAACUGUCAUUUAUUAUUUGUAUUUAGCCAAUAACUGUUUUUAGAGCAUUUUCAUUUUUGCUUCAAGUUCAUGUCAAUUAAAAAAAUAAAAGUACCUAACUGAAACUACAUGCUGUUUUGUUUAGUUUUUGUGUGAGUGUGUAAAACCCUAAUACAGGCUAAAAUACAUUAUAGGAAAAACAAAAAUGUUAAUAGAUAAUAUAUGUAAAUAAUAUUAAUAAGUAAAACUAGUAUCAAAGGUAUAAAUAUACUAAUAUUAAUGAAAAUAAACUAUUUUCAAAUGUACUAUUUUCUAAAUCCUAUUUCAUGCAUCCCUACAAUUGCGUCUCUUCAGGAGACUUAAACUGCUCAAUUCAUAUUAACUUAUAUAUUUAUUUAAUUAUUUAUGAUCUCUUUAUGAACGCUUUGAAGUUUUGGGUGAACAGCCUUUCAAUACAGAAGUCUCUCAAAUUUCAUUAAAAUAUUUUAAUUUGUGUUGAGUGUGAACAACGGUUUAGAACAACAUGGGAGUGAGUAAAUGAUAAAUUUUCAGAAUAAUUUUGGUUGAAUUAUUCCUUUAAGUGUUGUGUUAAUAGUUGAAAUAUUUUGCUUCUUGAUCCAGUGUGUUUGUUGCAUUAUGGAUGCGCCAAAAUAAUAGAUGGAGCAAGAUGAACGUUUAAAAUGACGGUAAAGUUUAGCUUCCUUUAAAUUAUAUAAAAGUUUUUUUUUUUGUGACUUUUGAUU